CAUUUAUUCUGGGAAACAAUAUCAGCAGUUACUCUUUUGACAUCUUACUGUGCAUCGGCUCAUCUCAGAAGAGUGAACUGAACUACAGAGUGCGGUAAACCAACUGAAGAGAAGAUUUUUCCCCACGGUCAGUUUCAAAUUCAGAACCAAGAAUGUCUCAAACUGUCAUACCCGUGAACUCUUCGACGCUUGUCAUCCAGUUUCAACCACCAACACAAACAACAGCAGCUGGAACUGGGACAAAUGCUCCUGUGCCUGUUUAUGUACAACAGCCAGCAGGAGUUUCACCUCUUCAUGGACUUCAGGCAUUUCUGAAAGGCCAACCAAAAGCCCUUGGGACUGUCCAGAUAAUGAUUGGUCUGUUGACUUUCCUGUUGGGAAUCGUGUCUACAGUUCAUGCAGAAUCCAUCUCUGUCUUUAGUGGUAUUGUUUACUGGGGAUCUCUCAUCUACAUUAUCGCAGGCUCACUCUGUAUUGCUGCAGAAAACAAACUGAAUUCACCCUCCGGUUUGUGUUUGGUGAAGGGUUCUCUGGGAAUGAACAUUUUCAGUGCUAUAACUGCAGGUAUUUCCUUUAUCAUAAUUUCAAUGGAUUUGGGUCUAGGGCCAUUAAACACUUGGUGCAACAAUUAUUAUUACUGUUAUGAAAUUGAGGCAAAGUAUAAGACUCUCUACUGGGGAAUCAGUGGUGUAUCAAUGGUAUUCGCCAUCCUUGAGUUUAUCAUCUCCAUCUAUCUGUCAGCAUUUGCCUGUAAAGUCACUUCCUGCUGUUCUCCACAGGAUGGAAGAAGCCGUGAAUCUGCUGGUUUAGGGUGAAGGGCGGGUCGGAAACACUACCUGGAGUAAGUGUGGAUGGUGUACGCCGAUACCCACCGUGUCAGAGUCCAUCUGCUCUCAGGAGGCUGAUCUGGACCAUGUAUUGCAUGGUGAUGUUGACAGUUUGAUGUUGGAUAUUCAUCCAAAUUAUGGUAAAAACAAAAAACAUUACUUUUAAUAAAGUACAUUGGAAAAGUAGUAAUUAAAGAGCCAUACUAAAAAAAUAGCAAACACACUUAUAAAAUCAGACCUUUUGUCUUCUGAUGUGGCUUUCCAGUUUCCAUCUUUAAAUGUCUCUGUCUUUACCUUACCCUGUCAGUCCUCUGCUUCAUCUAUUUUCCUCAGGCAACACAACAAACCUGUGACGUCACACGCUGUGGUAUUAAGAUGACGGCACCCUUGCUCCGAAAGCUAGAACAACACAUCCUUUUUUCUUUGAAAUGGUUACAUUAAUCAUGUUUGUUAUAUAUUUUUAUUGGAAAUCAGUCUAAUAAGUAAUUUAAACUUGACUGGCUGCUUUAUUGGAAAUUAUCUGAAUGUAAAGUAAACUUAGCACACAUUGCAUUAUCAAACAUUAAACUCGCAGCACUUGCAGAGAUGGAGUUGGUGAGAAACAGCAUUUACUAUAAACCGAGCCUUUAAAAACAUGGUAUUAUAAGCUGCACAAGUGUACAUGAUCACAGUACAGCUUUUCACUCUGAAACAUGCAACUACUAAUUCAAUGGAGUCAAUUUUUUCUCUACUUAAAAACAUUGUUCAAAUAUUUUAUUUCAAGACAUUUAUCAGGGUUUUGUCCUUAAAGCACCCUUUCUUGCAACUACUUUCUUACACAUCUUUUAUUCCUAAACAAUUUUUGAGCUAGUCUGUGCGUCUCUCAACUGUGUUCGGCAACAACAUCUCUACUAAUAGUUAAACUGCAAGUUUAACUGCUUCAAAAACAGCAAAAUUACCAUCUACUGAGAAAUAUCAUGUGGUUUUUCAGUUGUGAAAUUAUUUUAAGAAAUCCAAAUAAAAGCUUAAGGUUUCACACCAGGACAUUUCUGUCUUUUGCUUUUUUCUUCUCUAUUUGAAGGAAAUUGAUAUAGUGAAACUGUCUGCCAGUGUCAUUGAAUAUAUGUCAUUUCACAGUAAGAAGGCAUAAAACACUUCUUGUGCAUUUUUCCAAAGGUGGCGUUUGUUCCACAAGUUAUAACCCAACAGCCCUGUUGUUUUGGACACAAUCAUUUCCAUGAUCUUAACAAUUCCGAGAUAUCUGUGGUCAGCAACCCUUCAAUGCAUCACCUUCCUGCA